GCCUUCGUGGUGUAGUAGUCAGCACGAUCGAUGCGUAUUCGAGAGGUCCGUGGUUCGAGUCCUGGAGAAGGCG
rfam:Stegodyphus mimosarum contig24161, whole genome shotgun sequence.